rnacentral:rRNA from 1 species
CCUGACGAGCAUAGCGCACUGGUCCCACCCCUUCCCAUCCCGAACAGGACCGUGAAACGGUGUCGCGCCAAUGAUAGUAUGGAUUACCCAUGCGAAAGUAGGUCAUCGUCAGGU